AGCGAACGCUGGCGGCAGGCUUAACACAUGCAAGUCGAACGGUCCUUCGGGAUAGUGGCGGACGGGUGAGUAACACGUGGGAACGUACCCUUAGGUUCGGAACAACUCAGGGAAACUUGUGCUAAUACCGGAUAAGCCCUUAGGGGGAAAGAUUUAUCGCCUUUGGAGCGGCCCGCGUCUGAUUAGCUUGUUGGUGAGGCAAUGGCUCACCAAGGCUACGAUCAGUAGCUGGUCUGAGAGGAUGGCCAGCCACACUGGGACUGAGACACGGCCCAGACUGCUACGGGAGGCCGCAGUGGGGAAUCUUGCGCAAUGGGCGAAAGCCUGACGCAGCCAUGCCGCGUGGAUGAUGAAGGUCUUAGGAUUGUAAAAUCCUUUCACCGGGGACGAUAAUGACGGUACCCGGAGAAGAAGCCCCGGCUAACUUCGUGCCAGCCGCCGCCGUAA
rnacentral:rRNA from 1 species